UGUGGGAGGGGGCUUGCCCCCGAUGGUGGUGGAUCAGUCUCUGAUUUAUCAGCUGAUAGAUCGCUAUCGGGGGCAAGCCCCCUCCCACA
rnacentral:misc_RNA from 1 species